CUGUAUUACAGCCUUUCAGCAGGAUACCAUUCAGUAGUUUUGCCAUCACAAAGGACUAUGCCUUCUUAACUUUGCCAAAUAGCAACAUAAAAUUUAUACCUUCAUGAAAUUAGUUUAAGCUAAUGCAUUUUGUCUUAAAAGUUAAGGUGAGGUAAGCAUACAUGUAUGGUCUAUUAUGAGUCACCUGAUGAAAAGUAAUUUGUAAAGCUGCUGUACACUGAUUGCCUUUGGUCAUAUGCCCGUAGACUUCUCUGAAGAGGAAACAUUCUGCACCUACUUGGUCCUCCACGGGUAGUAGCACUUUUAUGAAAUGUGACAAAUCCGUUAUUUUUAUGGGAAUAAGUACUUUUGAAAAUCACAGGACGAAUGAACAAGCCAUAAAGUGCAGACCCGAAUCCGUACUUCAGUCAGUUACAGGAUCUCAUUUUUGUAAAAAUCUUGAUGUGAUUCAUAAUGGUAAUAAUGCUAGAUAUAUGACGGACUUUGAGACCUAUGCUAAUACAGUUUAUUAAACCUGUUGUUCUACUACUGUAGGGCUGCUGGAAGCAUCUUCAAGUUUUACAAGCUAUGCAGUGAUUCAUCAAAUGAUUUCCAGAAGAAACUAUGACAUUAUCCUACAAUAACCGGCCUCUGUGUCACUCUUACUUGGGACAAAUUCUACAAACAGCUUUGUCUUGCUCCCAUGUCAGCAUUUCUCUGAGUUGUUUAUAACCCUGAAGCCUGGGCUGUGUGUCCUGUCUCCUACCAUGCCAUCCAUGCUUGUACUUCUGCUUCUACAGUCACAGUGUACAAGUAUAAGUAAAAAUAAAACAGAAUAUAGCACCACUCACUAGAAAAGCAGAUGUUAUAUAAAAAAAAAAAAAUAAAAAAAAAAGUCCAGGCAAGCUGAUGCAAGUGACAUGAAGUAAACCUUGCAAACACUAAUCCUGAGGCUCUGAGAGUAAGUACACAACUACAGUCUGUUACUACCAAUGACGUUCCUGUGCAUACUGGGCUACUGGGGUAAAAAGUCCUAUGCAAACAUAAAUUACAAACCAUACCUGAUAGUAUUCAAGGUAAAAUCAAUUUCAAAGUUAACAAAGGAGACAGAAAACCUGGAAACACUGAACAACAGUGCUCAUGGACCAACCCUGGAGACCCUCAUGGAGAGAGUCGAACUACUGGCAAUUGGGAAUAUGAUGAUUUACUGUGAUGCCCUGCUGUACUUUUAUAACUAUUGUAUUCCGAUUCAUAUUGUAAUGGCACUGAGUAUAAAUUCUAGACAUCUCACAUAAAGUAUGUUCUUUUCAUGCAUUUAAUGAUGUUUUGAGUGCAACACUCAUUUUUUCAAACAAGAAAAAGAAAAUAUUGAUCAUUUAUUUGACUGGAUUUUUUCAGUGAUUAUUCUAUCAUUUUUAGUGCUUACUACAUCAAAAACCUUUUGCAGCAUCUUUCUAAGUCUGCAAUAAUAAGUAAGAUUUAAUCAUAAUCUACUACUUCCAAGUAAGAAUUAGUAUUCAUCAGCUGUUGGGACCUAGUUUUUGACACUUUGAAUUCAACCAUCUAGAGAACACAACCAAUCUCUGAAUUCAGCUCUGUAUUUGUGCUCUGUCUUAUUAUAAACUAAGUUGAAUUAUAUAUUUUAUAUGUAUCCUACUGUACAGUGUGGAAGUCAGAAAUGAUGCCUUCUUAAGGAAUUAUUUUCAGUUGAUUUUGUCAUGUUUGCCUUCAUAAGAAGAAAUAUAAUCAGCAAAUUAAUUGAGAGAUGUCCAAAAUAAAAUAUUUUUAAAUUUGUGCAUUGUCUGAUUACACCUUGAAAGUCUAAAGCAAGGAAGAUCAAAUACAAACACCAGAGGCCACAGAAUAACACUAGUAAGAGACAAUUACUACAUCAAGAGACAGCAUUGAUUAUUACAUUUGCCUUCACUUUUAUAAAUUAGUCUCCUUCAUUUUAUAUAUAUUUAUCUUACGUACAAAAAAGUGAAAUGGAAAAUUAAGAUUGAAUACAACUGUCUGUGGAGAAGGUUGGGCAGAGAGGUUGUAAACUUUUCCUCCAUGGAAGAUUUCUAGGCCAGGCCUGGGCUGUUUGAUCUGAUCCUGUGGCUGGUCCUGUCCUGCGAAUGAGGAUGUGCUGGAUAUCUCCAGAGGUCCUUUCCAGUCCCAGCAGGAAACAUACUGGAGCAAGGCAGGCUACUGGGCAAGAAGGGAAAACAGAUUUCAGUCUCUCUGUCAUCAUGUGGGCAGAUGCUUAUUGUGUGGUGGUUCUCUUUAGCCUAUACAUGAUAUAUCAGUUCAGUCUGUAACCUCCUUGAAACAUGGAAUGUGCCUGUUGCCAUUGCACAUCUCCUAGUUUGAUGGGACUAAGAAGCAGGGACUAUUACAAACCAAAUGAAUACAAUACAUUGUUAAGCAGAUAUUAAAUGACUAUUUGGGGAAUAAAUGUUUUUGCAUUGUGAUUCAUAGCAAAUUCUGCCUGUACAAAGUUGUGGUUAUUCCCUCCCAGUUGUAGGACUGUACAUUUGAUCUCGUUGAACCUCAUAAUGUUCCUCUCUACCCAACACUCACCUUGUCCAGGUCCCACUGAAUGGUAUCACAGCCUUCUGGCAUGUUGGACGUUCUUCCCAACUUUGCAUCAUCAGCAAAUUUGCUGAGGGUGCACUCUAUCUUUUCAUCCAGGUCAUUGAUGAAUAUUGUUGAUGUUGUAAUUCAUAAACAAUAUUAUACAUGUGACACAUACAAACUUCCCUCUUUUAGUUUGGAAACGGUUUGACUCUCGUUCAUGGACUGGUAUACUGGCUUUGUAUUCCUGCAGUGCCUGAUUGUUAUCAAAAGAUUUAGAUUGCUUUAUCUCUUAUUUCCACCUAUAUAAACCUUUAUGCUUCUUUUCUUUUUGUCUGCUGGCUGUUACACAGUGCUCAAUGAUGGUACUCUGGUAGGUUAUUUGAUGUAUAGCAGGUGGUUUGGUUUCCAGGUUGUACUUUUGAGUCUGCUUUUCAAUAGUUAUUCACCAUUAAAUGCAACUGAAUAAGA
rnacentral:lncRNA from 1 species